ensembl:lncRNA
GGACAUGGCAGGGAGGGAGGAAGGGCGUAGUUAAAGCAAAUCAUGGACUGAAGCAUAAUAGUUACUGAGUGUUCCCUCUUUAGGCAAAACCAGAAGGUCAGUGUCUCUUGAUAUCCUCCUCAGCUAGCAAAUGAGAAAACUGUCAAAGUCAUUUGGGGAGUGGAAAGUUACAUCCUUUGAGGGGAAAUAAAACAACUGAUUUAUUCUGGUCCAUGAGUUCUACACGGUGUGUCAGGGGAGAGAAGCACGAGGCGGGAUGGAAGGGUCAGUCUAUGUGAAGAACUGACUCAUUAGAAAAGACCCUGAUGCUGGGAAAGAUUGAAGGCAGGAGAAGGGGACAACAGGGGAUAAGAUGGUUGGAUAGCAUCACCAACUCAAUGGACAUGAGUCUGAACAAGCUCCGGGAGAUGGUGGAGGACAGGAAAGCCUGGCGUGCUGCAGUCCACGGGGUCACAAAGAGCAGCACGUGACUGAGUGGCUGAACUGACUGAAAGGAAGACAUCCCAGCUGUUUAUACUAUACUGUUUAUUUUGCAUUUAACAAUGCACCAAAUCCAUAACUUUUUUCUUUGAAAACCUAACUGACUCUCACUCCUGCUACAACAUAACUCCUUUCUUCACUCUUCUUUGAGUACUAUGCCCUUCUGCCUGUCUCCCUUCUCCUUUCCUUUGCAUUAUCUUCCACCUUUCUGUAAACUCUCAUUUCUCCAAAUCUCAACACUCUCAGACUCUCCCUCUCCAGUGUCUCUGAGGACACAGUCUCAGCUGACUUUGGGAUUUCCUUCUACUUCUGUUCUAAAAUGCUUUCCGUGUGCUAAUGAACGACUGUCAGAAACAGCUUCCCGGCCUCGUGCCAGGAGAAGCUAGAUUUCACGGUAUGGAGGGGCCCCUUUGGGAUCUCACUGAACAGAAACAGCUUAAAAUACUAAAGAGAUCUCUUUGAUUCAAAGCUAAAUAAGUAGCUUUCCCUCAAUCGACAAGUCAUCUGUGAAGUUUAACGUUUGAAAUUUCAAAUGCUUUAGAAUUUUAAAUUGUAAUUGGACUAAAACUGUGCAUUUUCUCCCUAUUCUCAUUACCUAAGAGCACAAAAAUGGUUUACUUGAACUUUCUACCAAAGAUUCCCCUGUGACCAUAGCAGGGAAAAAAAGAAAGAAAGAAACUUAAAAAGAAAUGACUGGACUGCCUUGGCGGUCCAGUGGUUAAGACUCUGUUUCUACUGCAGGAGGCAAGGUUCAAUCCCUGGUCAGGGAACAAAGAUCCUGCAUGCUGUAUGGUGUGGGCAAAAAAGAGAAAAUGGUUUUUCCAUCUUAACUCUGAUCUUUGUAGAAACACACUCAUAAUUAAAGCUAUAUCCCAAGGGAUGUUGUAUGGGGGUUAUGAACAUUCUAUUGAUAAUCAGAGGGAAGACAGAUUUCUCUUUUGUGGACUCAGAACGAGAGCAAAAGAAGAUAACAUAUAGCAAGGCAGAGUGGAUUGGAAUUUAGUCAGAGACUAAUGAAUGACCAAGAACACAGGCCCUGGAGUCAGAAGACCUGGAAUCAAGUUCUGACCCCACCUUUUAAUGAGCUCAGUAACCCUGAGGUAUAUAACACCUUCCCUCUCUAAGUCUUAGUUUUCUCAUUAGUAAAAGAGGCAGUAUAUUAGUAUUUAUCUCAUGGAAAGUGAUGGACAGUGAAGUCGCUCAGUCGUGUCCGAC